rnacentral:rRNA from 1 species
GACGAACGCUGGCGGCGUGCCUAAUACAUGCAAGUUGAGCGAUGAAGAUUGGUGCUUGCACCAAUUUGAAGAGCAGCGAACGGGUGAGUAACGCGUGGGGAAUCUGCCUUUGAGCGGGGGACAACAUUUGGAAACGAAUGCUAAUACCGCAUAACAACUUUAAACAUAAGUUUUAAGUUUGAAAGAUGCAAUUGCAUCACUCAAAGAUGAUCCCGCGUUGUAUUAGCUAGUUGGUGAGGUAAAGGCUCACCAAGGCGAUGAUACAUAGCCGACCUGAGAGGGUGAUCGGCCACAUUGGGACUGAGACACGGCCCAAACUCCUACGGGAGGCAGCAGUAGGGAAUCGUCGGCAAUGGACGAAAGUCUGACCGAGCAACGCCGCGUGAGUGAAGAAGGUUUUCGGAUCGUAAAACUCUGUUGGUAGAGAAGAACGUUGGUGAGAGUGGAAAGCUCAUCAAGUGACGGUAACUACCCAGAAAGGGACGGCUAACUACGUG